CCCGGGCCACCUGAGCGCCCGAGCCAGGCUGAGGCUCCUCCCGACGCAGCUACGCCCUUCGGAGCCGGGGGCGGGGCGAGGCGGCCUGGAGCUCCGGGGGUGCGGCCGGGGUCCCGCGGGGUGCGGUUCCUGUGCUCGCGCCGCGUCCUGAGGCCGCCACACCUGGGUUGCCGCCGGACCGCAGCCGAGCUCAGAGCUCCGCGCUGGGUCCGCCGGAAGGUGCUCCGCCAGGGAGGUCCGGGCAACCCGCGGUGCGGCGAGAAAUGCGUCCCCGGGAAACCGCGCCCGGCGGCGGAGGGGCGAGGAGCUCGGAGCUAAAGUCCUAGUCUCGGCCCUAAAGUCCUCGCCUCGGCCCCGCGCGCGGAACCUCGUAAAAACCUUCGAAGGACCGAAAUCGCCGUUUUAUCGCGGAAGGCAAACACUGCGCGAACUUCCUGGUUCCCAUAGUGCGACGCUCGGCUGCCCAGACCCACAGAAUUCUUCGUUUUAAACCCAAGACGUGCGAGUCACCUGCUUAGCAAAUAUGAUCACAAACUUACCUCCUGCUUGUUCCCCUAAACACCCUCUUCUCUUUCCUAAAGAAACCGAUUGGUCUUCUCUUUCCCCUCCCUCCCUUUCUCCUAUUACCCCUACCUCUGAUUACUGCGUGCACGUCUUCUGUACCCGCCAGAGGGUGUGAAUACACUUUGCUUUCUUCCUGUU